CUGGCCUUGACAUCCUGCGAACUUUCUAGAGAUAGAUUGGUGCCUUCGGGAACGCAGUGACAGGUGCUGCAUGGCCGUCGUCAGCUCGUGUCGUGAGAUGUUGGGUUAAGUCCCGUAACGAGCGCAACCCCUAUCCCUGGUUGCUAGCAGGUAAUGCUGAGAACUCCAGGGAGACUGCCGGUGACAAACCGGAGGAAGGUGGGGAUGACGUCAGGUCAUCAUGGCCCUUACGGCCAGGGCUACACACGUGCUACAAUGGCGCGUACAGAGGGCUGCCAACUCGCGAGAGUGAGCCAAUCCCUUAAAACGCGUCGUAGUCCGGAUCGGAGUCUGCAACUCGACUCCGUGAAGUCGGAAUCGCUAGUAAUCGCGAAUCAGAAUGUCGCGGUGAAUACGUUCCC
rnacentral:rRNA from 1 species